rnacentral:rRNA from 1 species
GCGGCGUGCCUAAUACAUGCAAGUCGAGCGAACAGAAGGGAGCUUGCUCCCGGAUGUUAGYCGGCGGACGGGUGAGUAACACGUGGGUAACCUGCCUGUAAGACUGGGAUAACUCCGGGAAYACCGGAGCUAAUACCGGAUAGUUCCUUGAACCGCAUGGUUCAAGGAUGAAAGACGGUUUCYGGCUGUCACUUACAGAUGGACCCGCGGCGCAUUAGCUAGUUGGUGGGGUAAUGGCUCACCYAAGGCGACGAUGCGUAGCCGACCUGAGAGGGUGAUCGGCCACACUGGGACUGAGACACGGYCCCAGACUCCUACGGGAGGCAGCAGUAGGGAAUCUUCCGCAAUGGACGAAAGUCUGACGGYAGCAACGCCGCGUGAGUGAUGAAGGUUUUCGGAUCGUAAAGCUCUGUUGUUAGGGAAGAAYCAAGUGCGAGAGUAACUGCUCGCACCUUGACGGUACCUAACCAGAAAGCCACGGCUAACUACGUGCC